rnacentral:rRNA from 1 species
GAUGAACGCUAGCGGCAGGCUUAACACAUGCAAGUCGAGGGGUAUUGGUUUUCGGACCAAGAGACCGGCGCACGGGUGCGUAACGCGUAUGCAAUCUACCUUUUGCAGAGGGAUAGCCCAGAGAAAUUUGGAUUAAUACCUCAUAGUAUAGUACUUUGGCAUCAAGGAACUAUUAAAGUCACAACGGCAAAAGAUGAGCAUGCGUCCAUUAGCUAGUUGGUAAGGUAACGGCUUACCAAGGCUACGAUGGGUAGGGGUCCUGAGAGGGAGAUCCCCCACACUGGUACUGAGACACGGACCAGACUCCUACGGGAGGCAGCAGUGAGGAAUAUUGGACAAUGGGCGCAAGCCUGAUCCAGCCAUGCCGCGUGCAGGAUGACGGUCCUAUGGAUUGUAAACUGCUUUUGUACAGGAAGAAACCCUUUCACGUGUGGAAGAUUGACGGUACUGUAAGAAUAAGGAUCGGCUAACUACCGUGCCAGCAGCCGC